UCCGAUGGUUCACAAUGUGAUUGUGAACAAUCAUACUUUUUUCUUAGAAAUAGUGGGAGGAUGAACUCAAAGAAAAAAUCUCUAAAGAACAAUGAGUCACAGGACCUAUAUAACCUAUUUAAGAUGAGCCAGUAUAUGUAGUACCUCCUCCAUCUUGUAGAUCUAGUAAGAUCUCCCAUCCUUUAGAAAGGUACUUGGUAUUCUUACAAAGGAUUUAGAGAAAGUAUUUUUUGAGAGGAUUGGGAACAAAGGGAUGAACCCAAAACC
rnacentral:lncRNA from 1 species